AUACGGAGGGGGUUAGCGUUGUUCGGAAUUACUGGGCGUAAAGCGCACGUAGGCGGACUGGAAAGUUGGGGGUGAAAUCCCGGGGCUCAACCCCGGAACUGCCUCCAAAACUUCCAAUCUAGAGAUCGAGAGAGGUGAGUGGAAUUCCAAGUGUAGAGGUGAAAUUCGUAGAUAUUUGGAGGAACACCAGUGGCGAAGGCGGCUCACUGGCUCGAUUCUGACGCUGAGGUGCGAAAGCGUGGGGAGCAAACAGGAUUAGAUACCCUAGUAGUCC
rnacentral:rRNA from 1 species